rnacentral:rRNA from 1 species
GUACACGCUGUGACUAGCAUAUCAAUAAGCGGAGGAAAAGAAACUAACAAGGAUUCCCCUAGUAACGGCGAGUGAAGCGGGAAGAGCUCAAAUUUGAAAUCUUAAAGGGUUUCCCUUUACGAAUUGUAGUUUAAAGAAGUGUUUUCUGUUGAGGUUUUGGUAAAAGUUCUUUGGAAUAGGACAUCAUAGAGGGUGAGAAUCCCGUAUUUGACCUUUACUUUCAACUUUGUGAUACACUUUCAAAGAGUCGGAUUGUUUGGGAAUGCAGUCCAAAAUGGGUGGUAAAUUUCAUCUAAAGCUAAAUAUUGGCGAGAGACCGAUAGCGAACAAGUACCGUGAGGGAAAGAUGAAAAGAACUUUGAAAAGAGAGUUAAACAGUACGUGAAAUUGUCAAAAGGGAAGCGUUUGACACCAGUGUUGUUUUCCUGAAAAUCAAUUAAAGAACUGUUUAUGCUAAGCUGUUUAGACUUUAUCAGCUAUCUGUUUAGUUUUGAGCUUUUCUUUAAUGCACUUUUCAGUUAACAAGUCAACAUCAAUUUCUUUUGCUGUAAAAAAGCUUGAGGAAGGUGGCUUGAGAUUCGUCUUAAGUGUUUAUAGCCUCUUGCCUAUGCAGUCGGAGAGAUUGAGGUCUGCAGCGUAGAUCCUUCGGGGCUAAAUGCAUUUGUGCUAAGUUAUAGCAUUUCAUAGACAACUUGUUGACUAUGAUUUGUCUUGUAGCUUACUCGCUUAUGUUAUUUUACCUACGCUUAGGAUGUUGACUGAUAUGUAGUCGUA